AUUGAACGCUGGCGGCAGGCCUAACACAUGCAAGUCGAGCGGAUGAAGGGAGCUUGCUCCUGGAUUCAGCGGCGGACGGGUGAGUAAUGCCUAGGAAUCUGCCUGGUAGUGGGGGAUAACGUCCGGAAACGGGCGCUAAUACCGCAUACGUCCUGAGGGAGAAAGUGGGGGAUCUUCGGACCUCACGCUAUCAGAUGAGCCUAGGUCGGAUUAGCUAGUUGGUGGGGUAAAGGCCUACCAAGGCGACGAUCCGUAACUGGUCUGAGAGGAUGAUCAGUCACACUGGAACUGGGACACGGUCCCGACUCCUACGGGAGGCAGCAGUGGGGAAUAUUCGACAAUGGGCGCAAGCCUGAUCCAGCCAUGCCGCGUGUGUGAAGAAGGUCUUCGGAUUGUAAAGCACUUUAAGUUGGGAGGAAGGGCAGUAAGUUAAUACCUUGCUGUUUUGACGUUACCAACAGAAUAAGCACCGGCUAACUUCGUG
rnacentral:rRNA from 1 species